CAGCCAAGCUACACUGUCCAUCGUCACCUCCUACAACAGCUGGUGUCCUAUGAGAUCCUGCAGCAUCAGGCCGGCAGCACUGCGUGGGACGGGGAGCUGAGCAGACACGCCAUCACCGUGCUCUACCUGCACGCCACGCAGAAGGACCUGUCUGACUUCCACCAGGUCAUGGCGCAGUGGCUGGCUUACAGCAAACUCUACCA